CGCAGGCCGCGGGAGGGGCAGGGGCACCCAGACCCGGAGCGGAAAGCAGCGCGGGAGAGCGGGCUCGAAGACAGGCGCUGGGCAGGGUGCAGGCGCGCGGGGACCAGACGGAGGAGCCAGGCUGCCAGAGAAGAUGGUGGAUUACCUGGCCAACACGGAGAUCAACAGCCAGCGCAUCGCCGCGGUCGAGAGCUGCUUCGGGGCAUCCGGGCAGCCCCUGGCCCUGCCAGGCCGGGUGCUGCUGGGCGAGGGCGUGCUGACCAAGGAGUGCCGCAAGAAGGCCAAACCGCGCAUCUUCUUCCUCUUCAAUGACAUCCUGGUGUACGGCAGCAUCGUGCUCAACAAGCGCAAGUACCGCAGCCAGCACAUCAUUCCGCUGGAGGAGGUGACGCUGGAGCCGCUGCCCGAGACCCUGCAGGCCAAGAACCGCUGGAUGAUCAAGACGGCCAAGAAGUCCUUCGUGGUGUCGGCCGCCUCCACCACGGAGCGCCAGGAGUGGAUCAGCCACAUCGAGGAGUGCGUGCGGCGGCAGCUGCUGGCCACGGGCCGCCAGCCCAGCACGGAGCACGCGGCGCCCUGGAUCCCCGACAAGGCCACGGACAUCUGCAUGCGCUGCACGCAGACGCGCUUCUCGGCCCUCACGCGGCGCCACCACUGCCGCAAGUGCGGCUUCGUGGUCUGUGCCGAGUGCUCCCGAGAGCGCUUCCUCCUGCCGCGCCUGUCGCCCAAGCCCCUGCGCGUCUGCAGCCUCUGCUACCGCGAGCUGGCCGCCCAGAAGCGGAAGGAGGAGGAGGAGGAGGAGCAGAGCGUGGGGUCCCCCCAGCAGCCGGCCUACCUGGCCGGGGCCAUCUGCGGAGCAUCCAGCGGGGACGAUGAUGACUCUGACGAGGACAAGGAGGGCAGUGGGGACGGCGACUGGCCCAGCCACGUGGAGUUCUACGCCUCCGGUGUCUCCUGGUCGUCCUUCCACAGCUGACCCGAAUCUGCAGCUGUGCGGGAGGGCCUCCCGGGUCCCUUCUGCAUCCAGUCAAACUCCAUUGCCCGUGCUCCUGAGAGAACAGAGUUCCCAGACUGCCCAGCAGCCCCCAGGACCCUGCCCCGUGGGUGGCAGGCGCAGUGGGAAUGGCUUUCUCUCUCGGCCCCCAGUGCCUUUGGGCUGGACGUUGGCAGCCUUCUGCUCCACUUCAGGUGGGACCAACAGAAUCUGCCAGUGCAUUGGAUACAGGGUGUGAGAGAAAGAGGUCAGUGCAGCUGCAAGCGUGAAGCUCCUGGUUUGUGAGACAGAGAAGGCUGCGGGCCAGCCACCAACCAGUGGUGGUUGUCUGUCGUGGUUUCUGAGCGGAGAGUGUGGGUAUCAGGAGCUCAGUUUCGGCAUGUAAAGUUGGAGACUGAAUGCAAAGUUUUACGGGAAGGACUAGAGCGCAGGCAAGAGUCCGGGCUGACAAACGCUGUUGCACACAUGGACAACCCCACAGGACAGACCGGAGGCUAGAGCCGCGGAGGUGGAGGUGGAGAUUGGGGAGCAGUCGGCCAGGCUGGAGGAGGGCCUGGAGAGCGCGGCAGCCGGCAGGGGGCCCAGCCGUGCCAGACGCUGCCCACGGGGGUCAUCGGGUGGCAUGAGGACCAAGAGCCAGCCUGUGUUCAGUAACGUGGAUGUCACGUGAAGUGGUCGCCUACAAUGUGGCUGCUGUGACAGGAGAACAUUUAGUGGGGUGGUAGGAGCAGAGGCCCGCUGGAAAGCACCCGGAGAACAGAGCCAAACUGGUGAAGUCAUCUGAAGAAUUCCGUUGCAAAGGGGAAGAGAAACGCCGCAGUGGCUAGAGAUGGAAGAGGUGCUUUAUAAAUGUGGCUCACAUUUGUGGCUUGUGUUAGAUUCUGUUGGCGAGACACUAGAGAGAAGACCCCACAUCCAAAAUGGUUCCCGGCAUGGCUGACCUUCCUGCCAGAGUCCGUGGGUACAAGUCCCACGUGCCUGGGGUGGAGCUCAAGGAGUUCAUGUUACAGUGGGGCCAUGCCUCUGAGGAGGUAGGGCCCCCGGAGCACGCUCGUGAAGACUCAGCCUCGAGUCCAGCCCAGGAGGCAGCCCCAGGGAGCUGGGGACCAGGCUGGUCUUUGUGUGGUUUAGGGACAGGUAAAGCACUCACACUUUGUAACACUAGAAUGCCCGUGGGCACAAGAUGCCCACAGCGCAGGGCCUCUUGUCUGCUGCACACUGCUUCUUCUGAACCAUGCCCUCACCGCUUUGGAAGCCUGGAGGGUCACCAGCACCCAUUAGAAUUUGUCUUUUUCUUUAUUCCCCCCAAGCAUGGAAGGGUGAAACGGCUGUAAGGUAAACAAUGUGUAUGGAGAAGUUCUAGCGAAUUUCAUAUACCCAUCCCCAUUUACUACUUAUUAAAAUUGGCUAUUAGUAUUCCAUUAUAUUGCCCACAUAUGCAGUUUGACUAUGUCCCUGUUGCUCAGCACUGGGGCUGGUUCCCUUUUCUCCUGUUGCCAUAAACAGCAGUGCUAUGAAUAUCUUUAUCCUUUUUCCAUUUGAAUUAUUUUAUUGUAAUGUUUUCCCUGAAGUGAAAUUUGUUGGCUGGAAAGUGUAUACAAUUUUAUGGUUCCUGUGACUUUUUUUCUUCAAAUCACUCUCCCAAAAGACUGUAUCACCAAGUAUUUCCUCCAGCACUCUGUGUGUGUGUGUGUGUGUGUGUGUGUGUGUGUGUGUGUCUUCCUGCAGCCCUGCCAGUUCUGGGUUUGAUCAUUUGUAUUUAUUUUUACCAAUUAAUUGUUAUGUAACAGAAGCUAUUAUCCUGGCAUUUGCUUUGCAAAUGAGAAUGAGUGAAGUCCUUCCCUUAAAACUCAUACAAAUUAAGUAAGUAGCCAUCACCUCUGUAGUUUAAAGAAACACUUUUCAGCUCCUUCUGUGUGCCAGCACUUUGGAUACCCACAGCUCCCCUGAGGCUACAACCCAGCUGGCUGGCUCGAGCUUCACCUCCUGACCCACCGUUAUCAAAUAGUCCAAGAAGCCUCCUCCGGUUAAUAAAGCCAUUUACCUCCUCCCAACAAACUGAAAACGCAUCAGUCAGCCCCCUUUCCCUGUGUGGUUUAGAUGAAUCCUGGCAUUUCUUAAUUGCCAUAUGUUGAUUGUUCAGGAUUGAGACACAUUCUGGUUUCUAUGCAAAAAGAUUGCAGGAGACAUGGCUGAUGUUCUGUUCAUGGCUUAUUAAAACCUCAGGAAGACCCUAACCGCCCUCCCAAGGGGAACUCAAUAACAGGCAUCCUGGUGGAGCCACGUCCUGGCCGGUCAGGUAACCCAAGAAGGCUGGGAGGGAAACUGACAGAGGAUGUGCAUAUUUGACCACUAGAUGGCACCUCUCAAUAACUAAUGGGGAGAGAAUUGCUUCCUUCCAAACCUCCAGCCCCAUUCCUGACAGCCUCCCCACCAUGCAUUGCAACACACCCCAGUCGUGUUUACUUCCAAGCCAGACAUCUCAAAAAAAAUAAAUAAAAUAAAAAAACCAGAAAAAUAAAAAAGUUCAUUCUAGCUAAAAAUACACCAUCUGCCUGUGAAAAAUCUUGCCCGGCGCUGUCAUGUCAACACCCAAAGCAGGUUAAUAACCGGCCCAGAACAGAUGGUUUCUUUUUAUAAUUACUGGGUCCCCCCCACCACCAGCAAGGCUUCUUCCUCAGCUGCCUCCUUACCCUGCUGGCAGCCCCCUAGUGUUUCCUGGCCACCCCGCUGCCACCGCCCAGCCAGCUACUGCCCUGCCAGCCACAGGGGGCCAGCCCAUUGCCAGCCCUCUGCUCAGGCUGUAGGACCCGGGGGCUUUCAACACCACCUGGGAAGACGGCCAUCAGGAGGUCACCCCAGCCUUGUCAACCCCACUAUCAAAGAAAAACUAAUCAAGCCAAGAUGUCAGUAAUCACUCAACAAAUAAAGUUUAAGACACUUAUCAUCCUAUUUCUGGGUGAGGAUACAGUGAGAUGUGCACCCCCAAACCCUGUUGUGGGGAAAGCAGAUUAUUAACACUGACUAUCUAGAAAGAAUUUUGACAGAAUAUAACAGCUUUAAAAAAUAUUGCAUACUGGGGUGCCUGGGUGGUUCAGUCUGUUGAGUGUCUGACUUUGGCUCAGGUCAUGAUAUCACGGUCCAUGAGUUCGA